rnacentral:SRP_RNA from 1 species
GGAGGUUGGCGGUGGACGAGUUUCUCGCCAACCCGGUCAGAUCCGGAAGGAAGCAGCCGUAACGAGCCCGACUCGGGUCUCUGUUCCAGCCUCCCAC